rnacentral:rRNA from 1 species
AUACCUACGGGGGGCAGCAGUGGGGAAUAUUGGGCAAUGGGCGCAAGCCUGACCCAGCAACGCCGCGUGAAGGAAGAAGGCUUUCGGGUUGUAAACUUCUUUUCUCGGGGACGAAGAAAGUGACGGUACCUGAGGAAUAAGCCACGGCUAACUACGUGCCAGCAGCCGCGGUAAUACGUAUGGUGCAAGCGUUAUCCGGAAUGAUUGGGUGUAAAGGGAGCGUAGACGGUUGUACAAGUCUGAUGUGAAAGCCCACGGCUCAACUGUGGGAGUGCAGUGGAAACUGGAGAACUAGAGUAUCGGAG